UCUAAUUUUAAACCCUCCUCUUCGCAAACGCAAAAACACCCUUUCUCUCUCUCUCUCUCUACCGUACUACCUGCCGACCCCUGCAAUGAUGGCGUCCUCGACCUCGGCUCUCCUCCCUCCCCAAUGCCCGGAAGAAGAAGAGAGGCAAAGUACAGGCUCAAGCACCUCAACACCCACUUCAACAACAACCUCUCCCCCCUCCCUCCUCCUCCUCCUCGCCUUCGUCUCCCCCGUCUCGCCGUCGCACCACGCCCUCUCUCUCUCGAGAGAGAGAGAGAGACUAGCGAUCGGUACCAUUCCGUUCCUACUCGUGCAUCAUCAAUCGAUCGAUCGAAUCGCGUCGAACAAACACAGGUUGAGAUGAGAUUCCGUGGAGGAUCGGGGGGUUGGAGGAGGUAGAGAAAGCUCGGUUGCUGACCUUGGCUCUCGAGUUCGGCUUCGACGAGCAGUCCGCCACCAACUGCUUGGACCGUCUCGUUUCCCUCUACGGUGACGAAGGUUGAGAGUAUAUCACUGUGGAGCACUGUGGCAAUGACUUCUUAGUAGAACUUGCCGAAACCAUGGAAGAUUCUAAGGAUUGGGAUGAUUUGCAAGCUGAGGAAUCAGAAGCUUGUGGAGUUUUGGCUGAUAUGUUUGGCCAAGAUAUCCAUAAUGGCGGUGAAUGCAAUGUCUUACAUGAUGUCAAUAUUAUAGAUGAUUCUCCACAACCUGAGGAAAACCAAAACUUUUCUUGAGGUGGAUUCCUCUACUGAUAGUGAAGAUGAAGACAAUAUAUUUGGCAGUAAAAUGGGCAGGAUAUCCACAUGCUAUAUUCCUGACCAAACUCCGAGGUAUUCUUUCACUCAACUUCUGGCCAGACGAUCUUUAGAAUCCAUGGACUAUAAGAGCACUGUCACUCAAGGUUCAAAAUCGUCAGUUCCAAAUAAAGGACAUUGGUCAGUUUCAAAUAAAGGACACUGCUCUUGGAAUUCAACAUCCAAACAAGGGACUCUGAGUUAUGACGAAUUGCAAGCCUUGGAUGACAUAUAAUUGGCAAAUGUUGUCAUAUUUGGAAACAAGGCAUUUCGACCAAUGCAGCAUCAGGUUUGUAAAGCUUCUGUAGCCAGGCAAGACUGCUUUAU